rnacentral:misc_RNA from 1 species
GCUCAACGGCCCUAUGUGAGUAAUUUUUUUUUUUCAUUUUAUGGUCUAGGAUUUUGUUUGCUUUUCUACUUUAUAGAGAAUGUUUCAGGGCAGAAUAUACAUGCUCAAAUGGUUCAAUUUGGGAGUAGCAAUUGUUUUGGUUAAAUAUCCCACUGUGGCUGAUUGAAAUUUUUUUUCUCAGAACAUUUGUUGUGAGUUAAUUCUAUCUCUAUGUUCUCUCUCAAGUUCAUCUUCCAUGAUGGUUUCAUCUCUCACCUGUCACUGCCUAUCAAUGUGCAAGUUUAGAGGAAAAAGAAUAAAUUCUCUGGGUCAUUUUUCCUGUCGAUCAAUUAGAAGAAAUGCAGUGUCUUAAGAUCUGCUAUGGAACUCACAUAAGCUUCCUCCAGUUGCAAGAUUUAAGAAUUCAA